AAGUCGUAACAAGGUUUCCGUAGGUGAACCUGCAGAAGGAUCAUUACAUUCAGUAGAUUUCUACUGCUGAGAAGGAGCGGAAAGUGAGCCCAGUUGCCUUGGUAGCUGGCAAACAAGUACGCUCUUUGUCUGUACCCUUGUCUUUUUGCGUACCCAUGUUUCCUCGGCAGGCUUGCCUGCCGGCUGGACAAUUUAAAAACCUUUUUAAUUUUCAAUCAGCGUCUGAAUAAUUAUAAUAAUUACAA
rnacentral:misc_RNA from 1 species